CUUUCACGACAACAAACAGAACAUUAGAAAGAAAAAAAGUUUUCCCCAAAUUGAAAUCUAGGUUUUUCCGACUCUACUGUGAAGCUCGUCGCCGGCCUUCUUUCGCUUCAAUUUCGAUGUCAUAUCUUGGCGAAGAAGUGGAUAAUAUGUAUCGAUGAACGAUUGACUCUCGAGUCUGAUUGAGCCUCUCUGUGAUGGAUAUAGUUCGGAUUCGAUUUCAAAGUAGAAUUUUGAUUGCUUGUAAACCAGUAAGUUCAUGAUCAGGGCAUUAACUACUUGCUGAAACUUUUAAACUCACUCGAUUUUAUUUUGCAGCAGAUGAGUCAAGCUUUUGAUUGUUCAAUACUUAUGUUUAUUAUAUGCUUUUCUAGAAAGGUAGAUAUAUUGAAUAUGGUAUCUAUGAUAUUGGAUGAACCAUAUGAUAUGUCUAUUUCUCUCAUGACAUCUAUUUAAAUUCUUAAGCUUGUAAUUUGUUUUCUUGUUUUAGUGCACAGCGCUUGCAUGAUUUGGGCGAUGAGUCUAAGUCGCUUCCUCUGUGGAGAUAAGACAACUUCAGAGAAUAAGGGCUUGACUAUUCUGAUCUUCAAAGAGCUUUUUUUUAUUUUAAGAACAGUUGUUGACUAACCAACCUUGAAGAAUCACGCCUCAAGCCAUAAUAUUUACUUUGCAGGAACAAAGAGCAGAGUUGAAACCAAUUUUCCUUUACAUGGCCAUGGUUGCUCUCCUAAACCAUGGUUCCUUCGCUUGGAUGACAGUAACUGCAACAUCGAGAAGACCAAUUCAGACACAACUUUGUAAUUAGGGUGAAAUAGGUAAAGACUUUCUUUCGGAAUGACACCAAAUUCUGGAAAUAAGUCCCAAUGAAGAGUGAAGUCACCAGCAGAUGUGGAAAGUGGAGAAGGAUGAACUUGUUGUCUCAGCUUUCUUUCAUCCCGCUUUUCUGUGUUACAAGACUUGGCUUCUAAGUACUUAUAUAUCUUCUAUUUGUAAGUGGUUUUUAACUCUGUUUGAGAGUUCAAAACUCUUUCUUUUUUGAAUGUAUGAUAUUACACUAAGGUUUAAC